rnacentral:rRNA from 1 species
AGGACGAACGCUGGCGGCGUGCUUAACACAUGCAAGUCGAGCGGUAAGGCCUUUCGGGGUACACGAGCGGCGAACGGGUGAGUAACACGUGGGUGAUCUGCCCUGCACUCUGGGAUAAGCCUGGGAAACUGGGUCUAAUACCGAAUAUGACCUGCUCUCGCAUGGGGGUGGGUGGAAAGAUUUAUCGGUGCAGGAUGGGCCCGCGGCCUAUCAGCUUGUUGGUGGGUAAUGGCCUACCAAGGCGACGACGGGUAGCCGACCUGAGAGGGUGACCGGCCACGACUGGGACUGAGACACGGCCCAGACUCCGUACGGGAGCAGCAGUGGGAAUAUGCACAAUGGGACGAAAGCCUGGAUGCAGCGACGCCGCGUGAGGAUAGGAAGGUCCGUUACGGGUUAGUAAACCUUCGUUU